rnacentral:rRNA from 1 species
GAUGAACGCUGGCGGCGUGCUUAACACAUGCAAGUCGAACGGAAAGGCCCAAGCUUGCUUGGGUACUCGAGUGGCGAACGGGUGAGUAACACGUGGGUGAUCUGCCCUGCACUUCGGGAUAAGCCUGGGAAACUGGGUCUAAUACCGGAUAGGACCACUUCUUGGAUGUUGUGGUGGAAAGUUUUUUCGGUGUGGGAUGAGCUCGCGGCCUAUCAGCUUGUUGGUGGGGUAAUGGCCUACCAAGGCGUCGACGGGUAGCCGGCCUGAGAGGGUGUACGGCCACUGUGGGACUGAGAUACGGCCCAGACUCCUACGGGAGGCAGCAGUGGGGAAUAUUGCACAAUGGGCGCAAGCCUGAUGCAGCGACGCCGCGUGGGGGAUGACGGCCUUCGGGUUGUAAACUCCUUUCGCUAGGGACGAAGCGUUUUGUGACGGUACCUGGAGAAGAAGCACCGGCUAACUACGUG